CAAGUUCACCGAGGCCUCCAUCAAUAGCAUUGAUAUCAACAUCAAAGUCUACACAAGCUCCUCUGCAGUUUUCGGUUUUAAACCAACGCGCAUCUACAGUAGCAUUUCUAAGCCACGGCUGAACGACGAGAUUAAAGGAAAAAGAUACAUAAAGAUAACCGUCACAAAAGGGUUGAGUAGUGACUUUUCAGCAAAAUACAGGUGUAUGCUCAGGACAACAUUGAUCUGGCCGACAUACCGACACUUCAAGUUUGGAUCAUCGCAUGCAUUGUCGUUUCGUGCAUCAUCUUCGUCGUAAUUGUCGUUGUUGUGAUCGCAUGCAUGUGUAAAAAGUCACAUGGAUAUAGAGGCCAAGUGGUUGCACCAGCGGCACAUACCCAGGUCACCACAGCAACAGUCACACACCCGGGCCAGUACACUUAUCCGUAUCACUCUGGCGCAAUACCUCCGCCGCCCUCUUACAACCAACUGGAAUUGCAGCCACUCCCUUCACAACCCAGCCCGGCUUGGAGCACAAAUGGGCAUCGAUGUCAUGCUGUACACUCGUGGGGCCACUCUGUCCCAGUCGGUUGAUGUCAAAGACAGCCACACUGUUGUCUAGCUAGCAGUAACUGCAGAAUGCCAGAACCUCCCAAACUGACCCUUCUGCUGUAUCUCCGUCCCCAAACAGGCAAUACGCAGACCUAGAGCAUAGUUGUGAAGCAUAAAAGUUCAUACAACAUCGGUCAUAUUAGUUUUUUUUCACACUAAAAUUCCAUUGUUGUUACUGGUACUGGUAAGAUUUAUCGAAAUUAGAUCCAGUGUUACAGGUUUUCUCUCGCCAAAGUCAGAAGAAAAUUCAUUUCAUCCACUACGUUACAGCACGUUUAUCUUUACGCAAUGAAUAUAAGUCCUAAAACCCUAACAAUGGUGUCGUUUAAAACCUAAUAUUUUACAGCCGAUAGUUCCAGAUCCGCUGGACCUACCGUUUAAUACCAAUAGUCAGUGCGGCUAAGUACUGCUUGUUACGUCAGUACAUCUUUAGAUCAAUUGACCCAUAUUCGUGCAGCUAAUGCCUUAUAAUCCUGCAAUUGCACUGCACAAUACCCAGACCCCUUUUAAACCCAGGGGUUCUAGUUUUCUUAAUUUUUUUUUUAUCUACGGACAAACCAUGUUACCUGCGAUUUACUUUGGAAUUGGCAAUUGUGUUUGCGAAGUUGCUUUGUCCAUACCUACUCGCAAACUGUUUUAAUAUUUUUUAUUCUUCUACGUCAGUGUACUUUCCUGUUUUCCUAGAAUCCGCCUUUUUUCUGUGAGUGUUGUCCGUCAUAUAUCUACCCACCUUGUCAGAGAGAAUGUCCCUCUGCGCUGAUAGCUACGUAAUCUAGAUGAUGUUGGACAGAGCAAACUUGAUUUAUAGAAGAUGAUACUUACCCAGAUCUAAAAUCUGUUUCAGUCUUCCAAGGUUACCUUUCAGAUACCCAGUUUUAAUGAAGCGAAAUUGUGAACCUGGCCAAUCUAUAUCAGAGCUAAUAUUUAUAAUCAUGUAUUAUAAAUACCAGUGAUAUUGUCAGUAUCACUUCACAUGUUCGUUAUAUGGCGUUAUAAGACAUUAUAAUAAGAAAUCUAAUAAUUCCCCUUUCAUCAGACAUGUCUAAAAGUAAAUGUAGGCCUAUGUGACAAGGGCAUUUAAUAAAGUAGCCACGAUUCUUUCGUGAUUAAUACGACAUUUGUAUCAACGUGAUUACAAGCCUGUCAUACAGUACCACCUUGAGGCAUUCUAAUUCAAAUCUAAAGCAUCACAGCGAAGCAGUAAAUCGCAUGCUUUCUUCAUUGUCUCUUUCAUGCACAAACUCCCAUCAUAAACUCCGGUGUACGUUUUGUUCGUUUGUACAGGUGCUGUGUUUAUUUAUGUAAAAAUUACUGAUAAAUCCAAGAGUGAGAUAUUGAGCUUUAUAUCUUUAUAUACAUGACCAAAGAACAGUUGUGCUCUGUUUAUUUAUGAAAAAAAUUCCCAUAAAUGUAAGAGCGAGAUAUCUGACCUUUAUAUACGUGACAAAAGAAUAGCUAUGAUUACAUGAAGGCGGUGGACUGGAAAUCGCACAGAGCCGUCGUUAACCACGGGUGGCAGGGCUACAGGACCUCUGUCAGGAGACAUUUCCACGCCAGUGGGGGAACCAGCCGGUAUAGAGCUAUUGCACUCGUUCAGGCAUGAGACUUUGUUCUUAGGUAUGGGCUGUAAUUCUAUCAGGAAGCCUAUUUAUUAUACCCCUUAAAACCAUGCCAUUUAUGUAAGGGAUGAUACAAAAAUGAUUUCACGUAAAUGUUUAUGAAAUGUGAUAACAACACAGCAUCGUGGGUAAUUCUAGACCAGUGACGUCUAAUACAUCAGAGCAUUGUUUUUACACUAAUUAUACCUAUGACAUGGUGCAUGCUGUUACAUUUUAAACAUUUGCAUGUGUCCUCAGCCCUUUAGUAUGUACCAAGCUUCCGUGAUCCAGAGAAUUCCCAGAGAAAUAUGACGUCAUCUUCUAAAAGCUACGGACGGGUGGUAUAAAAAGGCAUCUCGGUAGUUACAGUUGGGGAAGUGGAGCUGGUUCUAUCAGAGUUAGCGGUAAAGCACUGUAACAGCUAGUUGCCCUCACAAGUUUUAACUAUGUACUGUGUAACGUAUAGCAGCUCUCGUCGUUUAACUUACUCCCGUGUGAGUUAUGUGUACUAAACACUUUGUUACUGCACUGAUAUUGUGCUUGAGUAUUUUCUCUCGUUGUGUUCGUCCUUUUAAAGACUUUUGUGAGCAUAUUCGUGUUAACUGUUAGGGCUGUGGACUUUGUCAUCGUUCCUCAUCUUGAUGAAGUUGUAUAGUGCCUUGUAAAAAGUACCUGUGUAUGGUUAUUUACUACCUUGUAAAAUAAAAUCUGCUGGUUUCUGUUUUGUGCUGCUUAGCAUUCUUGUAUUUUGUACAAGACCCUUUUCAUACAAGUAGUUAGGCCGUAACACAUGAACACUUGCAGAAUGAAGACCUAACUUCUGUAAAUUCAUAAGAGGCCGAAUUUCACAUCCUACGUAUGAAUAUUAUCGCAAAGAAAGAAGUUUUGCAUCAGCACUUUUUCUAUGAUUGCAAAUAGGGUGUAAUUAUGUUUUGAAGUGAGAUUGGCACUAAUGUGUGAAGGUUUUACCUAACAAAAUAUUUUACUCACCAAAUAACUAUUACUCUGAGUUGUUGUUUCAUGGUAAAUAUAUAUCUUUUAAUGAAAACAGUGUAUUUAUAUUCAUUCUAUUUUAAAGUGAUUAUAUGCAAUAAAUGGAAUCUUGCUGUUUGCUAAACAUGAUUUGAUGGAAUUUAAUAUAUUACCCAAUUUAUCAGUUAUUGUUAUUAACUCACGUAUAUAUGUAUAUGUCAAAUUCACUGCUCUAAAGUUAUUUGGCCUACUUGACGCAGGGCCUCGGUUUUCCUGAAACCCUUUUGUUAAGUCACCGUAAAGAGGCUACUAUUUUACUACGCUUAUAGACUGU